AUGUUGAAGAGAAGGCGAGAGAAAAGGACACACAUGCUCGAGUUGCCGAGGGAGCUUCUAGUUCCCACAUGGUACAGAAGAAGAACUCCCAGCCCAACAAGUUCAAAAACAACAAGAACAAAACUCAGGGCAAAGGCAAGUUUGAUACAAAGAACAAGCCGUCACAUGCUACCAACUUCAAAAAGAAUUCUCACAAGAAGGGGAAGGGACUUUGCCAUGUCUGCGGUGAUCCUAAUAACUGGGCUCCGAAGUGUCCUAACCGCUUUGAGGAGCGCGAACAUGAGAAGAGCGGCAAGUCCACUAAUACUGUCAUCAAUGAUACUGAUAUGA
rnacentral:rRNA from 1 species